GCUGGCAUAGCUCAGUUGGGUAGAGCAAUCCUUUGGUAUGAGAUAGGUCGUGAGUUCGAGUCUCACUGUCAGCUCCA
rnacentral:tRNA from 1 species